rnacentral:misc_RNA from 1 species
GUGAGCGUCUCCGUGGGGCCCGGGUAUCGUGUUCGGUUGGCAAGGAAGAAAGGUACGGGAUCGACGUGCAUUUCACACCGGCAUGAAUAGUAUUGCGUAGAAAUUCAGUCGUGCGUAUGCGUGACCGGUUGCAUGGACGAAGCCGAAAGGGAAAAGAGGUGUGCGAGUGUGGCAGACAGAGCGGCGGCGGCGAGCGCGGGCAAACGGGUCGGCAUUGGUAGGUGUACGAUUAGCCGAAAACGCGCAGUCGCGCGUUGGUCCUGUCGGGUGGGAGGUGAUCAGCUGUGAACACGCGAGGAGCGAGAUGUUCGUCCUGCAGAGAUCUAUAUUAUCGCCCAGCAGCAGGAAUUGUGCAGGAUCAUGGGCACGAAUGCUUCCACCCACGCAUCCUGCUGCAAAGGAUGUUCAACACAGAGACAUACACGAGGUGUCCGGAGAUGUGAUACCUAUCAAUAUGGUAAAAGGUAUCGGUCAUCUAAGGGAUCCUCGACUUAACAAGGGUUUAGCAUUUACUCUGAAAGAGAGAAUAUCCUUGGGUAUACACGGUCUGCAGCCUCCUCGAUUUAAAACUCAGGAAGAACAGCUGGCCCUGUGCAAAGCUUCGGUAAUGAAAUACACCGAGGAUUUAAAUCGAUACCUCUAUCUGGUGGAAUUGCAGGAGAGAAACGAGAGAUUAUUUUUCCGUCUGUUGAGCGAAAACAUCGAACAAAUGAUGCCAAUUGUUUACACACCUACCGUUGGAUUGGCCUGUCAAAAGUUUGGCGUUAUUUAUCGUAGACCACGUGGAUUGUUCAUCACGAUAUACGAUAAGGGACACAUCUAUGAAAUCUUGAAUAAUUGGCCCGAGCAAGCAGUCCGAGCGAUCUGCGUAACCGAUGGCGAAAGAAUCCUGGGUCUUGGAGAUCUGGGUGCUUGUGGAAUGGGAAUUCCUGUAGGAAAAUUGGCCCUCUACACAGCUUUAGCAGGCAUUAAACCGUAUCAAUGCUUGCCAAUCACUAUCGACGUGGGCACCAAUAACGAACAGCUUCGAAAUGAUCCUCAUUACAUCGGUCUUAACAAACCUAGGAGUCAAGGAGCUGAAUACGAUGAGCUGAUCGAUGAGUUUAUGGCUGCUUGCGUUAGGAAAUAUGGUCAGAACGUUCUCAUCCAAUUCGAAGAUUUCGGCAAUCACAACGCGUUCCGUUUCCUGGACAAAUACCGAGACAAGUAUUGCACCUUCAACGACGACAUACAAGGCACCGCCGCCGUUGCGGUCGCCGGAAUUCUGGCUUCCAAACGAGUUACCAAGAAGAAGAUGUCCGACAAUAAGUUUGUGUUCCUUGGCGCUGGUGAGGCAGCGAUAGGAAUAGCCGACCUCUGCGUGAAAGCAAUGGAGGCGGACGGCUGCACGGAACAAGGAGCCCGCGACAACAUUUGGAUGAUGGAUAUCGACGGGUUGCUAGUAAAGAACCGACCCGAAGGUAACUUAGAAGGCCACAAGAUCUGGUACGCGAAAGAUCACAAAGUGAUGAAAUCGCUGCUGGAGGUGGUGAAGGAAGUGAAACCCACCGUUCUGAUUGGCGCGUCGGCAGCCGCGGGAGCGUUCACUCCUGAGGUGCUCAAAGAGAUGGCGAAGAACAAUGAAAGGCCGUUGAUCUUUGCGUUGAGCAAUCCGACCAGCAAGGCUGAGUGCACGGCGCAGCAGGCUUAUGAUUACACGGAUGGAAGAUGCAUUUUCUCAUCGGGAUCCCCAUUUGGAGAAGUGAAGUAUAACGGGAAAAUCUAUAAACCUGGACAAGGAAACAACGCGUACAUAUUCCCUGGAAUCGCGUUGGGUGUGAUCGCAACUGGUUGCCAUCACAUUACCGAGGAUCUGUUCCUCAUCUCGGCACAGGCUGUUGCCGAUCAUGUCAAGGACGAGGAUCUUGACAUGGGCAGUCUGUACCCACCGUUAAGUACCAUUCGCGAAUGUUCCAUCGAUAUUGCUGUUCGAAUUGCGAACUACGCUUAUGCGAAAACCGGAUUAGCCAGCGAGUAUCCAGAACCAAAAGACAAGCGUGCGUUUAUCAUGAGUAAAAUGUACGAUGCUAACUAUGACAGUCCACUGCCAAACGUUUACGACUGGCCAGGAGACUAUGCCAAGCCGCGUGUAUUGCCGGAGAACUGCAAUGAAAUAGACACAGUAGAAAUCCGCCACGAUUUAAAACAUCUGUAGCGGAUUUCGUCCAGCUGGAUAUACAGAGGCUAUCAUUAAAUAAAGUAAAAAAAAAAAAGUAAAAAAAAAGUAUCGUGUCCUGCAUUGACAGGUCGUGACACAAAAAGAAAGCAUCGGUGCGGUCGCAAUUUCUUUAGCUGUAAGGAAUUGUUACUCUUGUCAGUGACUAAUUUGCCAGUGCUUUUACGAUGUAACUUGCACGAAGUGUUGAAAGCACGAAACAGAACAGAAAGAGAUAACGAUGACAUAGUGCUAUUGUUACAGCAUCGAAUGUCGCAAUUAUGACGUGUUGGAGAGUCUAAAGACGAGACGGCUAUUCUGACGUAUACGUAGUCGUUUCACGUUAAUUCUGUCAGGUUUGAGACUAAAACGGCAUGAACAGCGGUCAGAUUCAUUAUCCAUUAAAAAAAGAGAGAAUUGCGGAGAUGUCAGGGAAUUUCAAGUUUAUGAGCUUUAUGUUUUUUUUUUCUUUUCUUUUUUCCUCUUUUUUUUGCGUGUCGAUACUCUGUACUUAUUUAUUAUUAUUUAACACAGUAGGUUCCUUGACUAUUCACUAAUUUGUAGCUGGAAUUACGUUGACCGAUAUUUAUUUUAUUUAUUCGUUGCUUUACGCUGGACGAUCAACGCUAUCUGUGACGUGUCGCGUGGUGGACUGUGCCCGCGGGCCACUCGAGGGCAAUGACGAAUAAAUUGUUUGACAUUUCAUUGAUGAUGUGACAUUUUUAAAUUUUUUAAUUUAUUGAACUUCCAAAAUGUCAAAUUUGUAGAUCAACGUUUUUUUAUUUCUUU